AGUGAACGCUGGCGGUAGGCCUAACACAUGCAAGUCGAACGGCAGCACAGUAAGAGCUUGCUCUUACGGGUGGCGAGUGGCGGACGGGUGAGGAAUACAUCGGAAUCUACUUUUUCGUGGGGGAUAACGUAGGGAAACUUACGCUAAUACCGCAUACGACCUACGGGUGAAAGCAGGGGAUCUUCGGACCUUGCGCGAUUGAAUGAGCCGAUGUCGGAUUAGCUAGUUGGCGGGGUAAAGGCCCACCAAGGCGACGAUCCGUAGCUGGUCUGAGAGGAUGACCAGCCACACUGGAACGUAGACACGGUCCAGACUCCUACGGGAGCCAGCAGUGGGGAAUAUUGGACAAUGGGCGCAAGCCUGAUCCAGCCAUACCGCGUGGGUGAAGAAGGCCUUCGGGUUCUAAAGCCCUUUUGUUGGGAAAGAAAAGCAGCAGGUUAAUACCCCGCUGUUCUGACGGUACCCAAAGAAUAAGCACCGGCUAACUUCGUG
rnacentral:rRNA from 1 species